rnacentral:rRNA from 1 species
GACAGAGGUGCCGAGCGUUAGGCGGAAUCACUGGGCUUAAAGCGUGUGUAGGCGGCCCGUUAAGUGUCUUGUGAAAUCCCACGGCUUAACCGUGGAACGGCUGGGUAUACUGCGAAUCUUGGGCCAUCUAGGGGCUAGCGGAACAAACGGUGGAGCGGUGAAAUGCGUAGAUAUCGUUUGGAACGCCAAUGGUGAAAACAGCUAGCUGGGGAUGUGCCGACGCUGAGACACGAAAGCCAGGGGAGCGAACGGG